rnacentral:rRNA from 2 species
UAACACGUGGGCAACCUGCCUGUAAGACUGGGAUAACUUCGGGAAACCGAAGCUAAUACCGGAUAGGAUCUUCUCCUUCAUGGGAGAUGAUUGAAAGAUGGUUUCGGCUAUCACUUACAGAUGGGCCCGCGGUGCAUUAGCUAGUUGGUGAGGUAACGGCUCACCAAGGCAACGAUGCAUAGCCGACCUGAGAGGGUGAUCGGCCACACUGGGACUGAGACACGGCCCAGACUCCUACGGGAGGCAGCAGUAGGGAAUCUUCCGCAAUGGACGAAAGUCUGACGGAGCAACGCCGCGUGAGUGAUGAAGGCUUUCGGGUCGUAAAACUCUGUUGUUAGGGAAGAACAAGUACGAGAGUAACUGCUCGUACCUUGACGGUACCUAACCAGAAAGCCACGGCUAACUACGUGCCAGCAGCCGCGGUAAUACGUAGGUGGCAAGCGUUAUCCGGAAUUAUUGGGCGUAAAGCGCGCGCAGGCGGUUUCUUAAGUCUGAUGUGAAAGCCCACGGCUCAACCGUGGAGGGUCAUUGGAAACUGGGG